UACGUAGGGGGCAAGCGUUGUCCGGAUUUAUUGGGCGUAAAGAGCGUGUAGGCGGCCAGAUAGGUCCGUUGUGAAAACUGGAGGCUUAACCUCCAGCUGUCGAUGGAAACCAUCUGGCUAGAGUCCGGAAGAGGAGAGUGGAAUUCCUGGUGUAGCGGUGAAAUGCGCAGAUAUCAGGAAGAACACCGAUGGCGAAGGCAGCUCUCUGGGACGGUACUGACGCUGAGACGCGAAAGCGUGGGGAGCGAACAGG
rnacentral:rRNA from 1 species